UGCCCCAUAGGACAAUGGGGGCUGGACCCCCAUCAUCUGGGCUGCGGAGCACAAGCACAUCGAGGUCAUCCGGCGCCUGCUCACCCGUGGGGCGGACGUCACCCUCACCGACAACGAGGAGAACAUCUGCCUGCACUGGGCCUCCUUCACGGGCAGCGCUGAGAUCGCCCAGGUCCUCCUGGAUGCUCGCUGCGACCUCCACGCCGUCAACUGCCAUGGGGACACCCCCCUGCACAUCGCCGCCAGGGAGAGCUACCACGACUGCGUGCUGCUGUUCCUGUCCCGUGGGGCAGACCCCGAGCUCCGCAACAAGGAGGGUGACUCCCCCCUAGAGCUGACCCCCGAGCGCUCCGAUGUGUGGGUCUCGCUCCAGCUCACCCGCAAGCUGCGCCAGGGGGCCCUGGCCCGGGGGCUGCGCACCGAGCGCAUCGUCAGCAGG